AUUGAACGCUGGCGGCAGGCCUAACACAUGCAAGUCGAGCGGAUGAAGGGAGCUUGCUCCUGGAUUCAGCGGCGGACGGGUGAGUAAUGCCUAGGAAUCUGCCUGGUAGUGGGGGAUAACGUCCGGAAACGGGCGCUAAUACCGCAUACGUCCUGAGGGAGAAAGUGGGGGAUCUUCGGACCUCACGCUAUCAGAUGAGCCUAGGUCGGAUUAGCUAGUUGGUGGGGUAAAGGCCUACCAAGGCGACGAUCCGUAACUGGUCUGAGAGGAUGGUCAGUCACACGGGAAGUGAGACACGGUCCAGACUCCUACGGGAGGCAGCAGUGGGGAAUAUUGGACAAUGGGCGAAAGCCUGAUCCAGCCAUGCCGCGUGUGUGAAGAAGGUCUUCGGAUUGGAAAGCACUUUAAGUUGGGAGGAAGGGCAGUAAGUUAAUACCUUGCUGUUUUGACGUUACCAACAGAAUAAGCACCGGCUAACUUCGUG
rnacentral:rRNA from 1 species